rnacentral:rRNA from 1 species
UACGUAGGGUGCAAGCGUUUGUCCGGAAUUAUUGGGCGUAAAGAGCUCGUAGGCGGUCUGUCGCGUCUGCUGUGAAAACCUAGGGCUUAACCCUGGGCCUGCAGUGGGUACGGGCAGACUAGAGUGCGGUAGGGGAGACUGGAAUUCCUGGUGUAGCGGUGAAAUGCGCAGAUAUCAGGAGGAACACCGGUGGCGAAGGCGGGUCUCUGGGCCGUAACUGACGCUGAGGAGCGAAAGCAUGGGUAGCGAACAGG